CGUAUUAUUUUGAAAAUCACAUUUGAGUUUUUUUACAUGCGCACCGGUACAAUUUUGUGGGGGAAGCAAAAGUUUGUGGAAAAUUGUGUUCUUUUAUAAACAAGUUUCAGUUCCUGAUACAUGCUGUUGCAGCCUUUGGCCAGUUUGGGAGCUGUUGAAAUAUCGGACAUUAUAUCCACAAAGAUACUACAUGGAUCAGUGUUUUGAUUGUGUGUACAGUUGCUUGACCCUAUGGCAUCCACAGAUGUUACCAUUUUGAAUAAAUGCAGGGGAACUUGAAGACAAUAGUUAAGUGGAUUGAAGAUAAAAGUAACAGAUAUAAUUAAGGUAAAUUAUAGUGUAAAAAAACAUUGCCAGCUUUGCACAUCACAAAGGCAACAUUUAUAUUUAAGUGUGCAGCUUCUGUGUUCUGUUAAGCUGAUUGAAAUUUAUAUGAAAUGAUGAGAAACAAUACUUUUAACUUUGAUAAUUUUUCACGUAAUGUCUUCAAGACUGACAAUUUUUUCUUUGGUAUAAAAUGAUUAAAGCAGUUUUGUAUUACAUUAAAAUACAUGUAUGGCUGCAUAGUUGCCUAAAAUUCAAUGUAAAAUUAUGAACAAAGAAAUUCUAAGUUAGAGAAUCUUAAGUUGUUUCUCUUCAUUUAGCUUGGUUAAAAGAGAUGGAGUGUGAAAAUUAUUUCAUUGUCAUUCAAAGAAUAGUUCACAUAUUCUACUCGCCCUUGCUUCGCCGUCACCUCUUGGUUAAGUUUUGCAUGCAAGUACAUGCGGCUAUGAUUUAAAGGCAUAUACCUUUGUAACUUAUUUUUAGCCCAUCUGA